UACGUAGGGCGCAAGCGUUGUCCGGAAUUACUGGGCGUAAAGGGCUCGUAGGCGGCCAACUAAGUCAUACGUGAAAUCCCUCAGCUUAACUGGGGAACUGCGUGUGAUACUGGAUGGCUUGGAUUUGGGAGAGGGAUGCGGAAUUCCAGGUGUAGCGGUGAAAUGCGUAGAUAUCAGGAGGAACACCGAUGGCGAAGGCAGGUCUCUGGGCUGACACUGACGCUCAUGCACGAAAGCGUGGGGAGCAAACAGG
rnacentral:rRNA from 1 species